CCGGUUCCUUGGCGGCGUCCCGGAGCAGCACGAGCCGCUGCAGCGUCAGACUGAACAGCCGGGGAACGCAGGACGGAGAGCUGCGGUCCACCUCCCACGUGGCGAAGAGGUUCAUCUGCACCGGGCGGGCGGCGGGGCCGGGCGGAGCGGGGCCGGGCGGGGGUUGCCCCGCGGCCUGGGGCGGCGGGACGGGGCCGGGCCCUCCCGUUCGCUCCGCCGCGGCCGCCAUCACCGCCGCCGCCGCCACAGC
rnacentral:lncRNA from 1 species